GGGUCUUUAGCUCAGCAGUAGAGCGGCAGACUUCGGUUUCAACCUGAAGGUUCCUUCGGGUAUUCUGCAGGUCGCGGGUUCAAUCCCCGUAGGACUCU
rfam:Pseudozyma hubeiensis SY62 DNA, scaffold: PHS59.